UGGUACAUUUUGUCUCUGUGCCUUGUUGCCCCUGUCAUUUCUGUUCUCUCAGCUCACCACUCCUGUAUCUCUGCCCUUAUGUGAACAUUCAAUUCCAUUACAUUUCUAUGGAACCCAGGAGGAGACACGGGAAGAGAAACAAAUCAAUGGUUAACUUUGAGAUCUCGCAUCACAUUUCUUGCUAUCAUCCUAACACUGCUGGAGGAGCCAUCGGGACAGGAGUAACACUGCAGCGAGAGGCCUGGAGAGGCGAGACGGAGUUCACAUGAUGCAGAUCUUGCCAACUGUUCCCUCAGGCUGAUAUUUCCUCUGACUUGGGUCCACAUGGCUGUGCCUUUUAAAGUAUUAAUGAAAGUUUUUCCUUCAGCGUUCUUUUUCUUACCAAAUCCAAACAUGGCGAAGCUGACAGCCAGGCAAAACACCACGGAGCUCUUCAUCCUGUUUCAAAUGUUGUCACUGCUGGAUAAGAGGCAGGAAAUUAACUUUUGUGGGAAUAAAGGUUCACAGAUAUCA